rnacentral:rRNA from 3 species
CCUACGGGAGGCAGCAGUGGGGAAUAUUGCACAAUGGGCGAAAGCCUGAUGCAGCGACGCCGCGUGAGGGAUGACGGCCUUCGGGUUGUAAACCUCUUUCAGCUCCGACGAAGCGCAAGUGACGGUAGGAGCAGAAGAAGCGCCGGCCAACUACGUGCCAGCAGCCGCGGUAAU